rnacentral:misc_RNA from 1 species
GGGAGAGAGGGUGAGUGAGAGAGAAGCAAGUCCGCUUGAUCGAGCAGCACCUGCAGCUGCACCUUCCUCCUCUCAAAGUAAACACAUUACAUCAAUUUCUCAAUUAGACGAUUAGGUGAAGGUGCGAACAAAACCAUUUAUUGUAUUCUUUUAAUAGCUAUCAAUUAUCUUAUGGCCUAAAUAUAAAUACCAUUACUUUAUCCGAUCUGCAUUUCCCCCCUUUGCAA